GGAGGGGUGGCCGAGUGGUUGAAGGCGGUGGUCUUGAAAAUCACUGUUCCGCCCGAAGCGGAACCGGGGGUUCGAAUCCCUCCCCCUCCGCCA
rnacentral:tRNA from 1 species